AUUGAACGCUGGCGGCAUGCUUUACACAUGCAAGUCGAACGGUAACAGGGUGCUUGCACCGCUGACGAGUGGCGAACGGGUGAGUAAUGCGUCGGAACGUGCCGAGUAGUGGGGGAUAACGCAGCGAAAGUUGUGCUAAUACCGCAUACGUACUGAGGUAGAAAGUGGGGGACCUUCGGGCCUCACGCUAUUCGAGCGGCCGACGUCUGAUUAGCUAGUAGGUGAGGUAAAGGCUCACCUAGGCGACGAUCAGUAGCGGGUCUGAGAGGAUGAUCCGCCACACUGGGACUGAGACACGGCCCAGACUCCUACGGGAGGCAGCAGUGGGGAAUUUUGGACAAUGGGCGAAAGCCUGAUCCAGCCAUGCCGCGUGUCUGAAGAAGGCCUUCGGGUUGUAAAGGACUUUGUCAGGGAGGAAAUCCCUAGUGCUAAUAACACUGGGGGAUGACAGUACCUGAAGAAUAAGCACCGGCUAACUACGUGCCAGCCGCCACAGUAA
rnacentral:rRNA from 1 species